GAGGAAUCGCCAUGUGAUCCCAGGAAGAGAGGACCUGCAUGCCACUGGUGUCCUCCAUAAGAUAACAAAAACACUAACCAGCAUAGUGGGGGUGAAAUUCCAGCUCAGACAAUUCAGGUGAGUUCCUAGAUGGAAGAAUCUAGAAAUCACAAAGGCAAUAGAGCUCUGUCACUUUUGAUGAGACUGGAUUUCUGGCACCUAUGUCUCCCCAUCUGCAAACAGAGUGCUGAACCCUUGGCUACUGACAGAUGUUUGCUGCUAAGCAGAGUUCUGAUCAGGGCUGGCUCACUAUAGGUAUAUGAAGGGAAUGACAAUGCCUAGCCCAUCCUUCUCCACCACAUGACAUCAAUUUCUGAAAUGGCGAUGAUGGAAAUCACCCUUUAAGUCUGUGCCGCUCACCGUGGACCUACCAUUACAAAGUGGAAGAGGGGGCUCGCUACACGAUUCAGUGGGGAAGGCAUUUACGGAGCAAAUCUGGCAUCCUGAGUUUGAUUCCCAGAACCCAGUAAAGAUGGAAGAAGAGAACUGACUCCAAAGAGUUGUCCUCUGACCUCCAUAUACACACCAUGGCAUGCCCCUACAUAUCAUCUACGUAUAGAAUAAUUAAUCAAUCUGUCAAUUAAUUACAAAUAAGGAGAAGAGGGCUGGGUGUGGUGGUGGGUUAUGUCUGUCAUUCUAUCAGAAGCUAGCACAGGUGUGUUGCUGCCAGCCUGGGCCAUAAAUAACCUGGACUACAGUGUGCACCCCUAUCUCAAAAAACAAAUGAACAAACAAUGCAAGACACUUUUUUAAAUUAAAAAAAAAACAAAUGGGACAUCAGCUAAAAUCAUCAUUGUGUUGGCAUGAAGGUGUUUCUUGUGCCUUUCUCCUACCCGGAGUAGCCUUGGGGACCAGUGGGGAUCCUAGCAGGCAGGGCCUUAGACACAGAAGAAUGGCUGCAUGUCUGUACACUCAUUAGCUCAUGAGCAGUGGUCAAACCUUAGAGAGCUGGACAAUAUGGAGAUGCCUCAGUUGAUAAGGUGCUUGCCCUGCAAGCAUGA